AUUGAACGCUGGCGGCAGGCCUAACACAUGCAAGUCGAGCGGAUGACGGGAGCUUGCUCCUUGAUUCAGCGGCGGACGGGUGAGUAAUGCCUAGGAAUCUGCCUGGUAGUGGGGGACAACGUUUCGAAAGGAACGCUAAUACCGCAUACGUCCUACGGGAGAAAGCAGGGGACCUUCGGGCCUUGCGCUAUCAGAUGAGCCUAGGUCGGAUUAGCUAGUUGGUGAGGUAAUGGCUCACCAAGGCGACGAUCCGUAACUGGUCUGAGAGGAUGUGCAGUCACACUUGAACUGAGACACGGUCCAGACUCCUACGGGAGGCAGCAGUGGGGAAUAUUGGACAAUGGGCGAAAGCCUGAUCCAGCCAUGCCGCGUGUGUGAAGAAGGUCUUCGGAUUGUAAAGCACUUUAAGUUGGGAGGAAGGGCAGUAAGUUAAUACCUUGCUGUUUUGACGUUACCGACAGAAUAAGCACCGGCUAACUCUGUGCCAGCCGCCGCCGUAACAC
rnacentral:rRNA from 1 species